CCUACGGGACGCAGCAGUGGGGAAUAUUGCACAAUGGGCGCAAGCCUGAUGCAGCCAUGCCGCGUGUAUGAAGAAGGCCCUAGGGUUGUAAAGUACUUUCAGUCGGGAGGAAGGCGUUGAUGCUAAUAUCAUCAGCGAUUGACGUUACCGACAGAAGAAGCACCGGCUAACUCCGUGCCAGCAGCCGCGGUAAUACGGAGGGUGCAAGCGUUAAUCGGAAUUACUGGGCGUAAAGCGCACGCAGGCGGUUGAUUAAGUUAGAUGUGAAAUCCCCGGGCUUAACCUGGGAAUGGCAUCUAAGACUGGUCAGCUAGAGUCUUGUAGAGGGGGGUAGAAUUCCAUGUGUAGCGGUGAAAUGCGUAGAUAUUAGGAGGAACGCCAGUGGCGAAGGCGGCCUGCUGGACAUUAACUGACGCUGAGGAGCGAAAGCGUGGUGAGCAAACAGGAUUAGAUACCCGCGUAGUC
rnacentral:rRNA from 1 species